rnacentral:snoRNA from 1 species
AAACCAUGAUGAGGACACUUUAAGAGGAGGUCUUUGAAACGUUUCAUGCAUCUAGAGAAUGAUUCAUUGGGUCUUUGGAGAAACUGAAAAAUGUCGUUCCUAAUCUU